rnacentral:rRNA from 1 species
UAUAUGGUCAAGUGAAGAAGCGCAUACGGUGGAUGCCUUGGCAGUCAGAGGCGAUGAAAGACGUGGUAGCCUGCGAAAAGCUUCGGGGAGUCGGCAAACAGACUGUGAUCCGGAGAUAUCUGAAUGGGGGAACCCAGCCAUCAUAAGAUGGUUAUCUUGUACUGAAUACAUAGGUGCAAGAGGCGAACCAGGGGAACUGAAACAUCUAAGUACCCUGAGGAAAAGAAAUCAACCGAGAUUCCCUUAGUAGUGGCGAGCGAACGGGGACCAGCCCUUAAGUUGUAUUGAGAUUAGCGGAACGUUGAGGAAAAGAAAUCAACCGAGAUUCCCUUAGUAGUGGCGAGCGAACGGGGACCAGCCCUUAAGUUGUAUUGAGAUUAGCGGAACGUUCUGGAAAGGACGGCCAUAGUGGGUGAUAGCCCUGUACGCGAAAAUCCCUUUGCAAUGAAAUCGAGUAGGACGGGGCACGAGAAACCUUGUCUGAAUAUGGGGGGUAAAGGACGGCCAUAGUGGGUGAUAGCCCUGUACGCGAAAAUCCCUUUGCAAUGAAAUCGAGUAGGACGGGGCACGAGAAACCUUGUCUGAAUAUGGGGGGACCAUCCUCCAAGGCUAAAUACUACUGACUGACCGAUAGUGAACCAGUACCGUGAGGGAAAGGCGAAAAGAACCGCGGAGAGCGGAGUGAAAUAGAUCCUGAAACCGUAUGCGUACAAGCAGUGGGAGCCCACUUUGUUGGGUGACUGCGUACCUUUUGUAUAAUGGGUCAGCGACUUAUUUUCAGUGGCGAGCUUAACCGAAUAGGGGAGGCGUAGCGAAAGCGAGUCUUAAUAGGGCGUCUAGUCGCUGGGAAUAGACCCGAAACCGGGCGAUCUAUCCAUGGGCAGGUUGAAGGUUGGGUAACACUAACUGGAGGACCGAACCGACUACCGUUGAAAAGUUAGCGGAUGACCUGUGGAUCGGAGUGAAAGGCUAAUCAAGCUCGGAGAUAGCUGGUUCUCCUCGAAAGCUAUUUAGGUAGCGCCUCAUGUAUCACUGUAGGGGGUAGAGCACUGUUUCGGCUAGGGGGUCAUCCCGACUUACCAAACCGAUGCAAACUCCGAAUACCUACAAGUGCCGAGCAUGGGAGACACACGGCGGGUGCUAACGUCCGUCGUGAAAAGGGAAACAACCCAGACCGUCAGCUAAGGUCCCAAAGUCAUGGUUAAGUGGGAAACGAUGUGGGAAGGCUUAGACAGCUAGGAGGUUGGCUUAGAAGCAGCCACCCUUUAAAGAAAGCGUAAUAGCUCACUAGUCGAGUCGGCCUGCGCGGAAGAUGUAACGGGGCUCAAACCAUGCACCGAAGCUACGGGUAUCAUCUUUUGAUGAUGCGGUAGAGGAGCGUUCUGUAAGCCUGUGAAGGUGAGUUGAGAAGCUUGCUGGAGGUAUCAGAAGUGCGAAUGCUGACAUGAGUAACGACAAUGGGUGUGAAAAACACCCACGCCGAAAGACCAAGGUUUCCUGCGCAACGUUAAUCGACGCAGGGUUAGUCGGUCCCUAAGGCGAGGCUGAAAAGCGUAGUCGAUGGAAAACAGGUUAAUAUUCCUGUACUUCUGGUUAUUGCGAUGGAGGGACGGAGAAGGCUAGGCCAGCCUGGCGUUGGUAGUCCAGGUUUAAGGUGGUAGGCUGAGAUCUUAGGUAAAUCCGGGAUCUUAAGGCCGAGAGCUGAUGACGAGUGUUCUUUUAGAACACGAAGUGGUUGAUGCCAUGCUUCCAAGAAAAGCUUCUAAGCUUCAGGUAACCAGGAACCGUACCCCAAACCGACACAGGUGGUUGGGUAGAGAAUACCAAGGCGCUUGAGAGAACUCGGGUGAAGGAACUAGGCAAAAUGGCACCGUAACUUCGGGAGAAGGUGCGCCGGUGGAGGUGAAGCAUUUACUGCGUAAGCCCCUGCCGGUCGAAGAUACCAGGCCGCUGCGACUGUUUAUUAAAAACACAGCACUCUGCAAACACGAAAGUGGACGUAUAGGGUGUGACGCCUGCCCGGUGCCGGAAGGUUAAUUGAUGGGGUUAGCGCAAGCGAAGCUCUUGAUCGAAGCCCCGGUAAACGGCGGCCGUAACUAUAACGGUCCUAAGGUAGCGAAAUUCCUUGUCGGGUAAGUUCCGACCUGCACGAAUGGCGUAACGAUGGCGGCGCUGUCUCCACCCGAGACUCAGUGAAAUUGAAAUCGCUGUGAAGAUGCAGUGUAUCCGCGGCUAGACGGAAAGACCCCGUGAACCUUUACUAUAGCUUUGCACUGGACUUUGAAUUUGCUUGUGUAGGAUAGGUGGGAGGCUUUGAAGCGUGGACGCCAGUCUGCGUGGAGCCAACCUUGAAAUACCACCCUGGCAACUUUGAGGUUCUAACUCAGGUCCGUUAUCCGGAUCGAGGACAGUGUAUGGUGGGUAGUUUGACUGGGGCGGUCUCCUCCUAAAGAGUAACGGAGGAGUACGAAGGUGCGCUCAGACCGGUCGGAAAUCGGUCGUAGAGUAUAAAGGCAAAAGCGCGCUUGACUGCGAGACAGACACGUCGAGCAGGUACGAAAGUAGGUCUUAGUGAUCCGGUGGUUCUGUAUGGAAGGGCCAUCGCUCAACGGAUAAAAGGUACUCCGGGGAUAACAGGCUGAUACCGCCCAAGAGUUCAUAUCGACGGCGGUGUUUGGCACCUCGAUGUCGGCUCAUCACAUCCUGGGGCUGAAGCCGGUCCCAAGGGUCUCCGGGGAUAACAGGCUGAUACCGCCCAAGAGUUCAUAUCGACGGCGGUGUUUGGCACCUCGAUGUCGGCUCAUCACAUCCUGGGGCUGAAGCCGGUCCCAAGGGUAUGGCUGUUCGCCAUUUAAAGUGGUACGCGAGCUGGGUUUAGAACGUCGUGAGACAGUUCGGUCCCUAUCUGCCGUGGACGUUUGAGAUUUGAGAGGGGCUGCUCCUAGUAUGGCUGUUCGCCAUUUAAAGUGGUACGCGAGCUGGGUUUAGAACGUCGUGAGACAGUUCGGUCCCUAUCUGCCGUGGACGUUUGAGAUUUGAGAGGGGCUGCUCCUAGUACGAGAGGACCGGAGUGGACGAACCUCUGGUGUUCCGGUUGUCACGCCAGUGGCAUUGCCGGGUAGCUAUGUUCGGAAAAGAUAACCGCUGAAAGCAUCUAAGCGGGAAACUUGCCUCAAGAUGAGAUCUCACUGGAACCUUGAGUUCCCUAAAGGGCCGUCGAAGACUACGACGUUGAUAGGUUGGGUGUGUAAGCGCUGUGAGGCGUUGAGCUAACCAAUACUAAUUGCCCGUGAGGCUUGACCAUAUAACACCCAAGCAAUU